CCGUAAAGUAGGUUUGUGUGCUUUGAAGCGAAAACAAACCAAAGAGAGAUGGGAAUAGUCAGCAAAGCAGGGGAUUUGGCAUUCAAGGCUUUCUCGGCGGGGCUUGGCGUCGCCACCGUUUAUCUGACUGCCACCUUCUCUGUCAAUAUCUAUAGAGGUGUUGCUUGGCACAACGCGCAGUCGAAAAUUGACAAGCAAGACUCCAGUCAGGAGGCCGCAUGACCUGGUGUGCAACGAUAAUGGCCUUGAGGUUACAACAUUGGUUUUUUUUCUUACAGAUGGAGAUUUGGUUAUUUGGUGUGGCACUUUGAAUGCUUUGAUUAUUGAAAGCUGAACACACCAUGACUUGGGUUCAUUUCAAAAAAUAGUCUUUUCUUUUUUUGGAUUUCAAAAAAUAUAAUCGUUCCAUAUUAAUGUAACGUUGGAUGAAAAUACUUUGAAUAAGAUCUAUGGAUAUCAACUUUUGUACUUGAUGAGAAUUACCUUCUCAUUAGGAAUGAUAUCCUUUAUUAUUUUGCUUCA